UGAGGAAUAUUGGUCAAUGGGUGCAAGCCUGAACCAGCCAUCCCGCGUGAAGGACGACUGCCCUAUGGGUUGUAAACUUCUUUUGUAUAGGGAUAAACCUACCCUCGUGAGGGUAGCUGAAGGUACUAUACGAAUAAGCACCGGCUAACUCCGUGCCAGCAGCCGCGGUAAUACGGAGGGUGCAAGCGUUAUCCGGAUCUAUUGGGUUUAAAGGGUCCGUAGGCGGACUUAUAAGUCAGUGGUGAAAGCCUGUCGCUUAACGAUAGAACUGCCAUUGAUACUGUAAGUCUUGAGUAUAUUUGAGGUAGCUGGAAUAAGUAGUGUAGCGGUGAAAUGCAUAGAUAUUACUUAGAACACCAAUUGCGAAGGCAGGUUACCAAGAUAUAACUGACGCUGAGGGACGAAAGCGUGGGGAGCGAACA
rnacentral:rRNA from 1 species